rnacentral:sRNA from 1 species
UGAAAUAAGUCAAUUUGAAACUUUUUAGAUGAGGCUCUCCUAAUACCCACACCCAAUCUCCUAGUACCAAUCACAAAGAACAUUACUUUCCUAAUUGUUCUGCAUUUGGGCUUAUUUACAGCCAUGAAAUUGAAGUUUUAAGGUGAAUGGUACAAGUAGAGGCAACAGGAUUGUAACAACCUCCCCAAUUUUCCCAGCAAAAGUCAAAAUCCCAGUACCUCUCAAAUACCUUCCUGCCUUAACGCCUAGUAGAUGAAAUACCUAAUUCCUUGGAACGAAGUUUUAAAUGGUGAAAAAGAAUGUGCUCAAAUUACUACUUCGAGAACAAUAAUAAUGUCUCAAAUACAAUGAAUUACACUAAUCAACUAAGCUGGGAAGUGUCCCAAGUUAGUUCUCUAGCCGCCUGCUCCAAUAAGCUCCCAUCAAUUCUGCAUACCAGUUAAAUAUAAGCCGAUGAAUAGUGUCACCAUGAUAGUAAAUAUAGAAGCUCUUACACCAAUAGAAGCCGAAGUUGACCUGCACAAUGGAUGACUCGUCAGUAUAACAAGAGCAAAUCUUAUGAAAUGAAAAGCUGUUAAUGACUACUGCAUUGGUCAAGAUCUUGUUGGAAUAACCUUUUGUAUAAGUGUACAGCAUAUGAAAAUAAGAAGAUAAAAUGAAUUGAGUUCCUCUGUUCACUUGAGCACUUAACUACGCAGAAUUUUGUUCAUCUGACUUCUCCAAAAGCUGAAGGACAUACGUUGAUUUUGGUUCAUGGAAAAAGUCCAAUUCAUUUUACCUUCUCAUUUUCUUCUACAAUAUAUAGCUUUCAUAGUUUAAAUGGAAAUUACCUUGCUACCAGGUCCUUAACAGAUUCGGUUGUUAGUCCAAAACCAAAAGGAUAAAGAGGAUCAUAGUGAGGAUCCCCAACAUUCAUCGGGAGUUGAUCAACAGAUUUGAACCAUGUCCUUGCAAGCUUACCCGUGAAACCAUAGUCACCAAAAAGAACAUCUGUCACACCUUGGCCUUCAGUGCCUGGCAACCAUGCGGCCACCAAUGCAUCUAUAGUAGAAACGUAUGGUUCAAUCACAAUAGGUCUGCCAGAGAUGAUGACUACCACACACUUAACAGUCCCACAGACAUUGUUGAUCACAUUUGGCCCAGAUUCCAUCAUUAUAAGUGUUGUGCUGUCCCCAGCGGUUUCAGCAUAAGGAGGCUCACCAACUACAACAAUUGCAUAUUCAAAGUUAUUGGAUUUAACAAACUCAUUAUCAGGGUUGUCGCGAUAGACUACUUCUGUGCUUGGAUCAACUGCUGAUUUUAUGGCACUGAGAAUAGUUGUUCC